GGGGGUAGACAGUAGACACUAGAGAGGGGGGCUGCGUUUUGGGCGGGAGAUAACUUAAACGCGAAAAUGCUGGGCAGGAAAACAGUCCCUCCCUCCCUUCAGGAUCAUCUCGAUUCCCUUUCCUUCUCUUAACCCUAACCCUAACCCUCCUUUCACCUUCAUCAUGAUUUCGCUGACCAAAUCUGAACCUAAUCCACGCGCGACAGAGUCCCUCCCUCCCUCCCUUCAUCUCGAAGUUCAUGACCAAAUCUGAAGCCUGCAGAGCAACAAAGCUAACGUAUCUUGCACUCUCGUUACUUGGCUAACACAAGUUCGAUUUUCAGCAUCUAAUUCUGAAGGCUCUGCUUGAAGUUUCACGGGGAAUACUAUAUUGUAAUUAUUUCAAAUGGGUAGAUAGUAAUAAAGACAGAGAAAUGAACUUGUAAAGAGAAAAUGAAUUGUUGAGAUAAGAGAAAGAGCUCUACAAGAGAGAGGAUGGGAUCGAGAAGAGGGAUGUGCUUCACUAGAGAAAUGAUGAGAUUGAAAAAAGAGAGUUGGCUAUCCACGAUGAUCAAGUUGGUCUUCUAAUGAAACAAGCACC